GACGAACGCUGGCGGCGUGCCUAAUAUAUGCAAGUAGAACGCAGUUGCGAACGGGGGAGUAACGCGUAGGUAACUGCCUGAUAGCGGGGGAUAACUAUUGGAAACGAUAGCUAAUACCGCAUACUACCAGAUGGACCUGCGGUGUAUUGGCUAGUUGGUGAGGUAACGGCUCACCAAGGCAACGAUACAUAGCCGACCGUAGAGGGUGGUCGGCCCCACUUGGACUGAGACACGGCCCAGAAUCCUGCGGGAGGCAGCAGUAGGGAAUCGUCGGCAAUGGGGGGAACCCUGACCGAGCAACGCCGCGGGAGUGAAGAAGGUUUUCGGAUCGUAAAGCUUUGAUGUUAAGGAAGCGGUACUUAACCAGAAAGGGACGGCUAACUACGUGCCAGCAGCCGCGGUAAUAC
rnacentral:rRNA from 1 species